rnacentral:rRNA from 1 species
UACGGAAGGGGCUAGCGUUGUUCGGAAUCACUGGGCGUAAAGCGCGCGUAGGCGGCCGGUCAAGUGCGGCGUGAAAGUCCUGGGCUCAACCCGGGGACGGCGCUGCGGACUGUUCGGCUGGAGUCCGGAAGAGGGUGGUGGAAUUCCGAGUGUAGAGGUGAAAUUCGUAGAUAUUCGGAGGAACACCGGUGGCGAAGGCGGCCACCUGGUC